rnacentral:rRNA from 1 species
AGAGUUUGAUCCUGGCUCAGGACGAACGCUGGCGGCGUGCCUAAUACAUGCAAGUAGAACGCUGACUACUUUAGCUUGCUAGAGUAGAAGGAGUUGCGAACGGGUGAGUAACGCGUAGGUAACCUGCCUACUAGCGGGGGAUAACUAUUGGAAACGAUAGCUAAUACCGCAUAACAGUGUUUAACACAUGUUAGAUGCUUGAAAGAUGCAAAUGCAUCACUAGUAGAUGGACCUGCGUUGUAUUAGCUAGUUGGUGGGGUAACGGCCUACCAAGGCGACGAUACAUAGCCGACCUGAGAGGGUGAUCGGCCACACUGGGACUGAGACACGGCCCAGACUCCUACGGGAGGCAGCAGUAGGGAAUCUUCGGCAAUGGGGGCAACCCUGACCGAGCAACGCCGCGUGAGUGAAGAAGGUUUUCGGAUCGUAAAGCUCUGUUGUAAGAGAAGAACGUGUGUGAGAGUGGAAAGUUCACACAGUGACGGUAACUUACCAGAAAGGGACGGCUAACUACGUGCCAGCAGCCGCGGUAAUACGUAGGUCCCGAGCGUUGUCCGGAUUUAUUGGGCGUAAAGCGAGCGCAGGCGGUUUAAUAAGUCUGAAGUUAAAGGCAGUGGCUUAACCAUUGUUCGCUUUGGAAACUGUUAAACUUGAGUGCAGAAGGGGAGAGUGGAAUUCCAUGUGUAGCGGUGAAAUGCGUAGAUAUAUGGAGGAACACCGGUGGCGAAAGCGGCUCUCUGGUCUGUAACUGACGCUGAGGCUCGAAAGCGCGGGGAGCAAACAGGAUUAGAUACCCUGGUAGUCCACGCCGUAAACGAUGAGUGCUAGGUGUUAGGCCCUUUCCGGGGCUUAGUGCCGCAGCU